rnacentral:rRNA from 1 species
AUACGGAGGAUGCGAGCGUUAUCCGGAUUUAUUGGGUUUAAAGGGAGCGUAGGUGGGAUAUUAAGUCAGCUGUGAAAGUUUGGGGCUCAACCUUAAAAUUGCAGUUGAUACUGGUUUCCUUGAGUACGGUACAGGUGGGCGGAAUUCGUGGUGUAGCGGUGAAAUGCUUAGAUAUCACGAAGAACUCCGAUCGCGAAGGCAGCUCACCGGGCCGGAACUGACACUGAUGCUCGAAAGUGCGGGUAUCAAACAGGAUUAGAUACCCUGGUAGUCCGCACAGUAAACGAUGAAUACUCGCUGUUUGCGAUACACUGUAAGCGGCCAAGCGAAAGCGUUAAGUAUUCCACCUGGGGAGUACGCCGGCAACGGUGAAACUCAAAUGAAUUGACGGGGG